rnacentral:rRNA from 1 species
GGUCAAGUGAAGAAGCGCAUACGGUGGAUGCCUUGGCAGUCAGAGGCGAUGAAAGACGUGGUAGCCUGCGAAAAGCUUCGGGGAGUCGGCAAACAGACUUUGAUCCGGAGAUCUCUGAAUGGGGGAACCCACCUAGGAUAACCUAGGUAUCUUGUACUGAAUCCAUAGGUGCAAGAGGCGAACCAGGGGAACUGAAACAUCUAAGUACCCUGAGGAAAAGAAAUCAACCGAGAUUCCCUUAGUAGUGGCGAGCGAACGGGGAUUAGCCCUUAAGCUUCAUUGAUUUUAGCGGAACGCUCUGGAAAGUGCGGCCAUAGUGGGUGAUAGCCCCGUACGCGAAAGGAUCUUUGAAGUGAAAUCGAGUAGGACGGAGCACGAGAAACUUUGUCUGAACAUGGGGGGACCAUCCUCCAAGGCUAAAUACUACUGACUGACCGAUAGUGAACCAGUACCGUGAGGGAAAGGCGAAAAGAACCCCGGAGAGGGGAGUGAAAUAGAACCUGAAACCGUAUGCGUACAAGCAGUGGGAGCCUACUUGUUAGGUGACUGCGUACCUUUUGUAUAAUGGGUCAGCGACUUAUAUUCAGUGGCAAGCUUAACCGUAUAGGGUAGGCGUAGCGAAAGCGAGUCUUAAUAGGGCGUUUAGUCGCUGGGUAUAGACCCGAAACCGGGCGAUCUAUCCAUGAGCAGGUUGAAGGUUAGGUAACACUGACUGGAGGACCGAACCCACUCCCGUUGAAAAGGUAGGGGAUGACUUGUGGAUCGGAGUGAAAGGCUAAUCAAGCUCGGAGAUAGCUGGUUCUCCUCGAAAGCUAUUUAGGUAGCGCCUCAUGUAUCACUCUGGGGGGUAGAGCACUGUUUCGGCUAGGGGGUCAUCCCGACUUACCAAACCGAUGCAAACUCCGAAUACCCAGAAGUGCCGAGCAUGGGAGACACACGGCGGGUGCUAACGUCCGUCGUGAAAAGGGAAACAACCCAGACCGCCAGCUAAGGUCCCAAAGUUGUGGUUAAGUGGUAAACGAUGUGGGAAGGCUUAGACAGCUAGGAGGUUGGCUUAGAAGCAGCCACCCUUUAAAGAAAGCGUAAUAGCUCACUAGUCGAGUCGGCCUGCGCGGAAGAUGUAACGGGGCUCAAACCACACACCGAAGCUGCGGGUGUCACGUAAGUGACGCGGUAGAGGAGCGUUCUGUAAGCCUGUGAAGGUGAGUUGAGAAGCUUGCUGGAGGUAUCAGAAGUGCGAAUGCUGACAUGAGUAACGACAAUGGGUGUGAAAAACACCCACGCCGAAAGACCAAGGGUUCCUGCGCAACGUUAAUCGACGCAGGGUUAGUCGGUUCCUAAGGCGAGGCUGAAAAGCGUAGUCGAUGGGAAACAGGUUAAUAUUCCUGUACUUCUGGUUACUGCGAUGGAGGGACGGAGAAGGCUAGGCCAGCUUGGCGUUGGUUGUCCAAGUUUAAGGUGGUAGGCUGAAAUCUUAGGUAAAUCCGGGGUUUCAAGGCCGAGAGCUGAUGACGAGUCGUCUUUUAGAUGACGAAGUGGUUGAUGCCAUGCUUCCAAGAAAAGCUUCUAAGCUUCAGGUAACCAGGAACCGUACCCCAAACCGACACAGGUGGUCGGGUAGAGAAUACCAAGGCGCUUGAGAGAACUCGGGUGAAGGAACUAGGCAAAAUGGCACCGUAACUUCGGGAGAAGGUGCGCCGGCUAGGGUGAAGGAUUUACUCCGUAAGCUCUGGCUGGUCGAAGAUACCAGGCCGCUGCGACUGUUUAUUAAAAACACAGCACUCUGCAAACACGAAAGUGGACGUAUAGGGUGUGACGCCUGCCCGGUGCCGGAAGGUUAAUUGAUGGGGUUAGCGCAAGCGAAGCUCUUGAUCGAAGCCCCGGUAAACGGCGGCCGUAACUAUAACGGUCCUAAGGUAGCGAAAUUCCUUGUCGGGUAAGUUCCGACCUGCACGAAUGGCGU